rnacentral:rRNA from 1 species
UUUAUUUUGAGAGUUUGAUCCUGGCUCAGGAUGAACGCUGGCGGCGUGCUUAACACAUGCAAGUCGAGCGAAGCGCUUAAGAAAGAUUCUUCGGAUGAAUUCUUUAGUGACUGAGCGGCGGACGGGUGAGUAACGCGUGGAUAACCUGCCACAUACAGGGGGAUAACAGUUAGAAAUGACUGCUAAUACCGCAUAAGCGCACAGUGCUGCAUGGCACAGUGUGAAAAACUCCGGUGGUAUGUGAUGGAUCCGCGUUGGAUUAGGCAGUUGGCGGGGUAACGGCCCACCAAACCGACGAUCCAUAGCCGGCCUGAGAGGGUGAACGGCCACAUUGGGACUGAGACACGGCCCAAACUCC